rnacentral:rRNA from 1 species
UACGAAGGGGGCUAGCGUUGUUCGGAUUUACUGGGCGUAAAGCGCACGUAGGCGGAUUGUUAAGUCAGGGGUGAAAUCCUGGAGCUCAACUCCAGAACUGCCUUUGAUACUGGCAAUCUCGAGUCCGGAAGAGGUGAGUGGAACUCCUAGUGUAGAGGUGGAAUUCGUAGAUAUUCGCAAGAACACCAGUGGCGAAGGCGGCUCACUGGCCCGGUACUGACGCUGAGGUGCGAAAGCGUGGGGAGCAAACAGG